UACGUAGGGUGCGAGCGUUGUCCGGAUUUAUUGGGCGUAAAGAGCUCGUAGGCGGUUUGUCGCGUCGGCCGUGAAAUCUCCACGCUUAACGUGGAGCGUGCGGUCGAUACGGGCAGACUUGAGUUCGGUAGGGGAGACUGGAAUUCCUGGUGUAGCGGUGAAAUGCGCAGAUAUCAGGAGGAACACCGGUGGCGAAGGCGGGUCUCUGGGGCCGAUACUGACGCUGAGGAGCGAAAGCCGUGGGGAGCGAACAGG
rnacentral:rRNA from 1 species